CGCGGUAUCUUGACCGUGCGAAGGUAGUGUAAUCAUUAGUCUUUUAAUUGAGGGCUCGAAUGAAAGGUCGGACGAGAAAUAAACUGUCUUUAUUGGAAAAAUGGAGUUUAACUUUUAAGUGAAAAGGCUUAAAUAUUCUAGAGGGACGAUAAGACCCUAUAAAGUUUGACAUUUUAUUUAUUAAAAGAUAAGAAUAGGUAGAAUAGCUUUUAUUAGUGAGAAUAAUGUUUGGUUGGGGUGGCCGAAAUAUAAGGAAUUUAACUGUUUUAUGUUAACACAAAUAUAUUUGUGUUAGUUGAUCCUUAGUAAAGAUGUUAGAGUAAAUUACUUUAGGGAUAACAGCGUAAUUUUUUUUGAGAGUUCUUAUUGACAAAAAAGUUUGCGACCUCGAUGUUGAAUUAAAGAAUUCUUUAUGGCGCAGCAGUUGUACCCGAAGGUCUGUUCGA
rnacentral:rRNA from 1 species